rnacentral:lncRNA from 1 species
ACGUAGUCGAAGGAUUUGAGUCAUUUACUCUUUACCCUUGGAAUUCCAAAACUCAAAAUCGGUUUGAGCAAUUGAUCCCAAGACCGUUUCAUAUUAAAUCACAAUCAAGUUUUCAUUAGUUUUUCUAUUUCUACGUGUUAUUUGAUUUCAAAAACCAACCCAUUCACAAACAACAAUUUUUAUUUUCUCUUUGGAAACAUUUUAUUUGUUCCUUUUGUGAGCAAUAGAGAGGGCAAUUCUGUCUUUUUACAAUUGUUUACACAACUCCUUGUGGAAUCGACCUCGUACAACCGAGUUAUACUACUCCGCCGACCUAAUCUUGGGGUUAUACUCAAGCGCACGUUGGGCGUGAGUCA